CAUCAAAGCUGACAGAUAUCCCAAGAAGCUAAGAAAGUCUUUAAAAAAAGGCCGAGCACCAGAAAGUAAUACAUCCAAUCAUCCGUAAAUGCAUCAGCUAAGCAACAGUAUUUUUGCUCAACAAUUGGACAGAAAACACAAGGAAUAAUACAGUAGAAGCCGUGAUUAUUGGUUGCAUUUUUGGAGGGAGAACACAGCGAGCUUAAGCCAACAACGUAGUGCGAACAGUGCAACAGAAAACCACCUAAUUUUGAUCUAGAGAACUAUAAACCACAAGCAGAGUAGCCAAAACCCCCACAUAUGUAGUGCAAGUGUCGAUCAUCUAUGAUUGAUACCUAAAUAUAGAGAGAUAGAGAGUUAUAUUUACAAACAAACACCACCUAGACGACAGGUGACCCCCCAAAAAGACAAGCCAGAAACAGGAACAGACACUGCUGAGGCACUGACCGCGCUACACGGUCACAUCCAGAUACAUCUUCAUCUGCACGGAGCCACUAAAGCCAGCAAAAUAGAUACCAUGGAGGACAAUAACACGAGCAGCAGUGCGGGCGGUGCGUCCAUCAAACAGGAGGAUCCAUCUGUGACACUCACAAUAAGGCUGAUUAUGCAAGGGAAGGAAGUUGGUAGUAUUAUUGGUAAAAAGGGUGAAAUUGUGCACAGAUUUCGUGAAGAG
rnacentral:sRNA from 1 species